rnacentral:piRNA from 1 species
UGUUUGUUAUGUAGUAAUGGUGUGUAUGAC